rnacentral:lncRNA from 1 species
CCAUUUCCGAUUUUUCUUCUCUACAAUAUCUGUAAAUAAACGAUUUUAAGAAACAAAGUUAUGACUCUUCUCCAUAAAAAUCUCUAUGGUUUCUUUCUAAAAUAUAUAUUCCAAGAUUUCGUAUUUCAACUAAUUAAUCAACACAUUCAUUUUCGGAUUCAUCUUUCAACUAAUUAUACUCACCACCUUCAUUUUCGGAGAUUUUUUUUCCGCAAUAUCUCUACAAAAUCGAUUUAAAGAAACAAAAUUUUGACUCUUAAAAAUUAAAAUCUUGGCAUAUUCCAAAAUACUAACGAAUCCAAAGAUUUUAUCUUUAAUUUGUUGCUACAUCGAAUAUUUUUUGCGUGAAGUGAUAGGGAUUAGUGACCUAAUUUUGACCCUAUAAAUACUCUACACCUAAACGUCAAUUAACAUCAUCAAACACAAAUAAGCCACGAUUUACAAAAAACCAUUAAACACACCUUUUUCGUCUUCAUAUGGCUGCUACUUUUGAGUCUCUGGUGAAUAUAGAUGUCGAAGGGAGAGAUUGUUGCAACGGUUUGUCAUCGAGCUUCAGGUGAUGUUGUGUACAGGUAGGGAAUGGUUGUGACGGCGACGGUGAGUUGUUGGUGCAACGGUGGUCGGUGGGUAAUAGAGCUUCAGCUUGGUGGAUGAGUAAAGGGAACGGUGUGACAGUUGCGGUGAGAUAUGGGUUGCGACGGUGGUGGAUACGACCGGAGGCGGUUGCUUUUGUCGGCUAAUGGUGGGAGAGUGGUCGGAGAGAAAUAGUUUUAGAUCUAGGUUAGGUUGUGUCGUGGCCUCGUGGGUUAGACAAAAUAUUUGGGUUGUAUGUGAUGGAUUGGUUUGACAAAUUAUUUAGGCCCAAUUUUAUUUAUAUGGGGUUGGGUAGUUUUAGUACUAUAAAUAAGUUGUAGUAUUAGUACAAAACAUUGUAAUUGUAAUUGUAAUUGUACAAAACGUGAAACUUAAAACAUUGUAAUUGUACAAAACAAUAGAUUAUAUAUAUAUAGAUAAUCUAUUAAAAUUUUACAUUUUGAUUUUUUUAUUAUUUUAUUUUUCUCUCACUAAGUUUUAUGGUUGUCGGUUGUUUGACAAAAUAAUUGUCUGAAUAGAAACCACAAAAUAUGCAUACUAAAUACAUGAAAGGCAAAUCAUUAUUUUUCUAUUUAACGUUACUUGCACCAUAACAUAGUAACCAGAGUUUUCAGAAUUUAUAUUUAAAGAUUUAGAGAACAUAACAUUGAACAUUUUAUUUUAUCCCACAAGAUUAAGCUAUGGUAUUUGUGGUGUCAGUAAAUUAAUAUAUAUCUUUUAGUAUGAGAAAUAAUUUUAAAUCUCACCAAUAUAAAAUUGUUAUCCGGUUUACUCCGGUUAUUUAUUUUUAAAAAUUGAAACUUUGAAGAAGUUUCAAGUUAUUAUAAAUAUAAAAACUUUAUUAAAAGUUAAAUAUGAUAAUUGUUUAUACUUUUAAAAAAAUUAAACUUUAUAAAAUGCAUAAAUUAUUUAUAAUAUUAGAACUUUUAUGAAGUUUCAAAUAUUAUAAAUAUUUAAACUUUAUAAAAAUUUAUAAGAAAUUUAAACAUUAUAGAUAUUUAAUUUUAUAAAACAUUUACAAUAUUUAAAUUCUAUAAAAAGUUUAUAAUAUUAAUAAUAUUUGAACUCUACAACAAUUAAAUAUAUAUUUAAAUUCUAUUUAAAGCAAACUUUUAAAUUGACUCGGAUUAUAUGUUUUUUAAAUAAAAUAUUAUUAAAACUGAUAAAAUGAUGUUUAAUUUCACGAGACAUGUUCUAUGGUAUGAUGGGUAUUGUUAGAUAUUAAUAUGGGACUACAAUAAUACAAUUUUAAACAAUAAACAAACAAAUAAUAUUAACAAAACAAAUACAACUUACUUUAAAAUUUUUAGUUAUAAGAAAUCGAUCCACGGCGUACCACAGGUCAGUCCCUAAAAUGCAAACAACAAAAUAAAUUCAUAUUCAAAUCUGCUAUAUAGAGUUGCUUAAUGAACUGUAUGUUUUCGUUUCUAUAUCUUAAAAUUGAAACCUACAACAUACUAAGCGUACACUAUAUAUAUAUAUAUAUAUAAUAUAUUUAAAUCAAACAAAACAAUAGGUUAUAUCUGUAGAUAAUCUUAAUAAAUUAAACUUUUAAUUUAUAUUUAACAAAAAUAUAGGCCCGCGGUGUACCGCGGGUUAACAUCUAGU